rnacentral:lncRNA from 1 species
ACAUUUUUGUAAUGCUGUAGCUUUUGAUCACAGCAACUGAUAAAUCAAUUAUUGAGUGAAUAAAAAUUAUUUUAUAUUAUUUUUUGCAUUACAUUUCAAAUGAAAAAAAGAAUUGUUUAUAAUUUAACAUAUUUCAAAGAUAAGAAAAAAAAAUCAAAAUUAGAUAUUGAAUAUUAUCUACCCGCCGCAUCGCGCGGGUCACUGCACUAGUUAAGAUAUAUAAAAUUAUAGUUACUAUAUUUUUAAUUGUACACAUCUUUGAUUAU